rnacentral:rRNA from 1 species
AUUGAACGCUGGCGGCAUGCCUUACACAUGCAAGUCGAACGGUAACGGGCCUUCGGGUGCCGACGAGUGGCGAACGGGUGAGUAAUGCAUCGGAACGUACCUUUCAGUGGGGGAUAACGUAGCGAAAGUUACGCUAAUACCGCAUAUUCUGUGAGCAGGAAAGCAGGGGAUCGCAAGACCCUGCGCUGAUUGAGCGGCCGAUGUCAGAUUAGCUAGUUGGUGAGGUAAAGGCUCACCAAGGCGACGAUCUGUAGCGGGUCUGAGAGGAUGAUCCGCCACACUGGAACUGAGACACGGUCCAGACUCCUACGGGAGGCAGCAGUGGGGAAUUUUGGACGAUGGGGGCAACCCUGAUCCAGCCAUGCCGCGUGAGUGAAGAAGGCCUUCGGGUUGUAAAGCUCUUUCGGUCGGGAAGAAAUCGCAUGGGUUAAUACCCUGUGCGGAUGACGGUACCGGCAUAAGAAGCACCGGCUAACUACGUGCCAGCCGCCGCGGUAAAAC